UUGACUGUUUCACAUUUUUCAUCAAUAUUUUCUUGCAUGAGUACUCUUCAUGCUUAUCAAUAUUUUCAUCCCUCUCUUAUAUAUUUCAGCACUUUUUUUUUUGCCAAUAGGCACUUAAUAUGGGGGCCGGCCUCACCACGUACGUGUUAUUUCUAGGUACAUGUUUAUCACUAUGAAGAAAUCUCAACCCUUGGUUUGUAUCUAUACCAAUAUAUUAAAUUAGAGUUGGUGGUGAUGAUACGGUCGCCACCGUAGGUUAAUUUCGUUAAAAUUAUAACCAAUAUGUCACUGCCCGUUAUUUUUUUUUCCUCCAGUUGUUUGCACGAUUUCUCCUACUCCAUCUUACAACCGACGCCACCACACCCGCAUGCCAACCUCAACGGCGCCAUGAAUUGCCUACACAGAAAAUGAAAAUAAAUAAUUUGUGAUUUUGUUGACCCGUAGCAACGCGCGGGCACACCUGCUAGUAAGCAGUAAUAUCCGAAUCAAAUCUUACAUAGGAGCAUAUAUAUAAUUAAUUAAAUCGCCACAUUAAUAUUCAAAUUAAAGCCACA
rnacentral:lncRNA from 1 species